UACGUAGGGGGCAAGCGUUGUCCGGAAUCAUUGGGCGUAAAGCGCGUGUAGGCGGCUGGGUAAGUCCGCUCUGAAAGCCCGGGGCUCAACCCCGGGAGGCGGGUGGAUACUGCUCAGCUCGAGUCCGGAAGAGGAGUGUGGAAUUCCUGGUGUAGCGGUGAAAUGCGCAGAUAUCAGGAGGAACACCAGUGGCGAAGGCGGCCUUCUGGGUCGACCCUGACGCUGAGAGGCGAAAGCGUGGGGAGCGAACGGG
rnacentral:rRNA from 1 species